rnacentral:rRNA from 1 species
UGGGGAAUAUUGGACAAUGGGCGAAAGCCUGAUCCAGCCACGCCGCGUGUGUGAUGAAGGGCUUCGGCUCGUAAAGCACUGUGGAGAGGGACGAAUCUGUCGGGGAAUAACACCUUCGGCGGUCGACGGUACCUCUUUAGCAAGCACCGGCUAACUCCGUGCCAGCAGCCGCGGUAAUACGGAGGGUGCAAACGUUGCUCGGAAUCAUUGGGCGUAAAGCGCACGUAGGCGGCCGCGUCAGUCGAGUGUGAAAGCCCGGGGCUUAACCCCGGAAGUGCGCUCGAAACUGCGCGGCUUGAGUACGGGAGAGGGUGGCGGAAUUCCCGGUGUAGAGGUGAAAUUCGUAGAUAUCGGGAGGAACACCAGUGGCGAAGGCGGCCACCUGGAUCGAUACUGACGC